ensembl:lncRNA
GCCCCCCAAUAUUCCACACAUUGACCCGGUUACAGCCUGACCUCGCAGCCCCUUCGGAUUAGCCCGGCGCGGCCUCUCUGGCGCCCUGGGCCCUCCCUGCGUGCCCCCCGCGAGCGCCCUGCCCUCGCUCCCCGGUGCACGUUUGUUGUUGUAGCGGAGCGAAAAAGAGACAGUUAACCGGAUGAAACUUUUUUUUAGCUAAUUUUGGGAAGUGACUUCACUUUGCGAAUGGGGAGGAAGUCCUAUCUCUCUCUCUCUCUCUCUCUCUCUGUCUCGCGCUCUCCUCUCUUCUCUUCUCUCCCCUCUGCUCUCCCUCGUCUUCCCUCCCCACACCCCUCUUCGCCGCCCCCGCCGCCGCUCCUGCUUUUCGCAUCACACACACUAUAUAAAUAUACGCGGAGAUGCCCAGAUACAUUCAUGCGCUGCGCACACAGGAUACUUGUUCCCGGGAGAUAAGGGCGAGCUGGGAACAAUGCCGGGGUCCACGCCCGGCGCUCGCGCCCUGAUUCCCAAAGUCUGCACGAACCCACCCCGCCGCCCCCCUCCCCAACCUUCCCCCAAAGUCCAAGACCGAACGCCUUUGGCCUCCUUCCUUUUCCCGGGGCCGUUGGCCGAAGGUGGCCCUCCUGACUCAUUCACUUUCCGUUUCUUCCCACAGAUACGUUCAUUAAUGUCUUUUCCAGCCGGAGUCAAACUUUUUUUGGGGGGGCGGGGGGCGGAAGAGUUUACUGGGGCUAAGGAUAACCUGGAGCCUACCGCCCGGGAAGAUCCGGACGCAGACCGAAGCCGACAGACCAUUCGAAAGUGCAUCCAAUGGGAAGUUUUCCACUCCGGGCGCUCGGCUGCGGAGUCGCACAGAUUCGCGGAGCACCCGCUCACCCAGCGACGCGGACGCCAGGCGGUUUCGGACGGACCCCGGCCGUCGGGGGCGUGGACUCGGCUCUGAGCGCUGCGAGCCGAGGGACGUCCUCGGGGCGGCGCGCCUCUGCUCUGGGCUACUGGAGAGCUCCCGGCGCCCGCCGAGGGCCGGUCCUUGAGGCACCCCAGGCCACCUCUCCGCGCCUUCUAGGUUACCUUGUCCACGCUCUCCAGACCACGCUUUGGACUUUCCCACUUUUAUUUAAGAGUCCAUCCGGAGAAGGAGGGGGAAAAAAAUCCAGAGGAGAUCCGAGUCAAUUGGAAAGAAAAAAAUUCAAAAGGGUGUCCACAGCGGCGAAAAAGCCCAGACUCUGCCGACCUUCAAACGACAACAAGGCUUUCAGGAGGGCGCGGGGAGACCGCUUCCCACCCAGAUCCGACCAGAAACCCGGCACCCUCGGCCACAUUCCCCCUCUUGCAGGCAGCGAGAACUCCACUCUACCACCGGAGGCCCCCUUCCUGGCGCUGGGCAAACACUCAGACCCUUAAUGGCCACCGCAGGCCAGCCAGCGGCUCCCCUUUCUACACCCAGUCCUCCCCCCAGUACUUGAGAAGCUACCCCUGUGGCAAAACAUUGGCCAGGCAGCUCUUCCCAGCUCCUAUCCCAACAGCUAAUAACAGACUGCAUUCACUGCUUUGGUCAGUAAGUCACCCCAACAUCCCUCGUACCCCCUUAACUCCUUUUAGCAGAAGCUGCCUCUCUCCUUGGGAGAACUCAAUGGGGGACGAGAUUAAAAUGAAGACUUGCCCUCCUGACUGAGCUGUGGAACUCAACAGCACUUUCUUUUUCUGCCUGUAAAACCAAAGCUUCUGGCAAUUUCGUAAUUUUGAAGGUGGCGGGGAGGGGGAAGAGGCUGGCAUUGGCAUAGCUGUCAUCCUUUAGUGAGUCACUGACUGGCACUGAUGCCCUGGCUUUUGGAAUUUACCAGCCCCUCCAUGAGGAGCUCCUGUCGGUUCACAAGCUAGUCUUCCCAGAAAGAAGAGCCCCCACCCCAACUCUGAAAAGCCUUCAGAGAGAAUCUGAGCCUCCUUGCAACCUGUGUUGGCAUGGUGGUGGGCAAAGCUGCCCACUUAUGUAACUCUGGGUUUGAAGUCCCACUCCAUGGCUGCUGCUGCUUUUUUAAAUCCCGAAGGGGGAAAGAAGCCCUAACCAAACACAACAGUAAACAAGUCUGCCCUGUUUAAUGUGGUUACCACCAGACAUCUGGAAAGAUGGUUUGAUCCUGGCAGCUCACAUUGUUUUCACGAGCAGCCAAAGAGAAUAUUUCGAAUGUUUGCAUUGAGACAAAUUGAUAGAGAGCCUGUGGUAAGGCGGCUGCAGAUGAAAACUGUCUUGGAGCUAGGCAGGGGGGAACCUCUCCCCUUCUCUUGGCUCUCCCCACCGCUUCUCUAUUUUGACCCCCUCUUUUGCCCUCUCCCCUUUCCCUCUCCUCUCCUUCCUCCAGGCCCAGCUAGGGGCUGGUUGGUUAUCCCAGCCCACACACUUGCUCACACCCUUUUCCUGGCUCACCAGAGACUGCCCUGCCUCUCCCUUUUCCAGACUGGGCAGGGUUGGUGAGCAGCACCUGGUGCCCGCUACCAUCCUGCCCACCCCACCAGCCCCGCUGGCUUUCAAGUCCGAGGAAGCUCACAGCCGAGGGAGCCCUGGACCAGCGCUUAAAACAAAAACUAUCCACUGGGGGAGCGGGGGGAGUGGACUAACCAACAAACAGCCCAUUACAUGGUUCUAAGGUCACUUGCAGAAAGCAUACCCGGGGGGGCGCAUAUUCUGGAAACCUUAGGACUUGGGACCUUUUUCACUGCAACUGUGGUGGGGUAACUUGCCUCUAACCAUCCGCACGCACUUGACAAUAUUUUCAAAGAUGCGGAAGUCCUGCUUCCCCCGGGAGGGGAGCGGCGGGGGUGAAACGUGUCUUGGCUCGCUCAAUGUCAGCCCUUUUGACCCGGUCAAGACUUUUCCAGACGAAGCUUCCCCGGGUUUCUUCGGCCCCGGCCCGGGUUGGGGGUGGGAGGACGCGACAACCGGAGCCGGGUCCCUGGGGUGCCUCCAGACCUCGGGACGGCCGGUCACUUGAAACCCCUGAAAGAUGCCAGGCUUGGCAGAGCGUGUGGGGCGGGUCCUUCCCCCUCCGGCCUCCCUCCUCGCGGCCCCUCCCGUCCGGCCGCCUCGGCGGGUAUUCGAACUGGCAAGGCGGGUGGGGGAGGGGGACGAGGGGAGGGAUGGGCGAGCGAGCGCCAAAACUCCAGACUGCACAACUGCAGCUUCAAGUGUCUGGCCCCUCGCUCGAGGCCAUAAUUAAUUUGAGAUUUAUUUUUAUUGGAGAACUCGAGUCUCGUCUGACCUUAGCCAAACAAGGCAGCUCGAGCCGCCCCCUGGACGCGCUUGAAUGCCGGGGAAUAUUUCUGCAGGAAGGCUCUGCAGGCGCGCCUGCUUUGAAUUUGUUUCUCAGACUUCAUCUACUCACAGAUUGAAGGAAGAUUUAGAGCCUCUGCCGGCCCGGCCCGCUCCCCACGCUCGUUCUUGCCUUAGCGCCGAGAGGGUUCAAAACGCUACGUGGGAGGCCGCGGCGGCGGGAGGGCCCGGAGGGGGAGGGUCUCUGCGCCCCGAGCCCGUGGCGCUCCCGGGCCGGGUCCCCAGACCACGCGGCGUCGAGGAGGAAAUCCCAAGGGAGUCGGAGACUGACCAGAGAGCGCAGGCUGACAGAGGUGGAGACCAGCCAGGUGCCAGGACCCUCACCCGGUGGCGGCGCCUGGAUGGGGGGCUUGGGGGAGGGGAGAAUUCGGCCUCUCCCAACCUCCAGCCGCCAGCCUCCUGGCCACUCCAAACAGCGUUCAAAGUACAGACCUGUGUCCUUGAAGCGCCGUUUCAGGACCUGCCAGCCAGAUGCUGCCCCUGGGCCGUGCCGCGGCGAACAUUCUGGGGCUACCAGCCUCCUCUCCUCUGAUUGAGGGGGGGUGUCUCCCCCAGAAUGCGGGGUGGGCUGAACCAGCAGGCGAGUUGGUGGGGGAGCGAAAACUAGGAGUCUGAGACGGAACGUGGAGGACCCUGCCAGUCUCGAGUGGGGCGGCUUGGGGCCUUCAGGGAUGGGCUCCCUGCGCUCGGACUCACAAGUGCCUUGUCCCUUGCGGGCACCUCUCGAGGACCGGGUCCGGGUUACUCCACUGGGUCUCCUGCCCCUCCCCGCUAUCAGCAAGUGGAACGUCCUGCUCGGACGUUCGCACUGGGAAACCCGGCUCUGUGGGGUUUGUAUUCUGGCUGUGCACUUACCCGCUCUGUGGCCUUGAACUGGUUGCCUAACCUCUCUGUGCCUCAGCGUGUUCGUCUGUGCGUCGGCGUUUUAAGAGGUUCUACCUCAAAGGGCUGUUGUAAAGCUGAAGUGGGUGUUUAGACCUCGCCUAGCAGUCAGCACAACUUUGCCCUCCUUGUUUGUAUCUUGGCUCUGUCCCUUGCAACCCAUGUCACAGACACCUCCCAAUGCCUCAGUUUCUCAUUUGCAAAAUGGACCACCAACUAGGGUUGUUAUUAGUAUUCAACAAGUUAGUACAGAUACAAUGCUGUCCCCCUUUCCCUUGCUCUUUCCAGCCUCAAGCCCGCAGCACUCUCUUGCGCGGUCUUCCUAAAGCACUUGGAAUCUAGAUCGCUGCCCGGUGCAGCGGACACCCUUGGUUCCCCAGGGCCCGGCUCGUGUCCUGACUCCUGGGGCCCGGGCGCCUGGACCCCCGGGGUUUGUCAACAAGCUCGGAGCCGAGUGCCUGAAGCCGAAUGGCAGGGGCUUGGCAGCCGGGGACUGUUUGUGCCCCUCUGGCGAAUGGCAGGCGUAGGGAGCCUGCGGAACAGACCCAAGAUUGUCCGCGCCACGCGGACCUCUCGCACUCAUCAAUGCACCCCUUUGUGCAACAAUACAAACUUUGUGGCUGCUGAAAAAUCCAUUUUUUCCCCUUGAAAAGAGCUCCUGCGGCGAGCGGCUACCCUGGCGGCCAGAACUCAUAGACUGCCGCCCCUACCCCUCCCCAGCGGCCCUCUCCCAGCGGCCGGGCCCGUUUGCUGUCUCUCUGACUCUUGGCCUGGGGUCAGGCUCCCGGGCUCCCUGAGGUUUUGGGUCCCCAGGUGUUUGCACACUCGAGGGGUCCCAGAGGAUGGGAGAGAGACGACAGCUGCCCGCCCCGGGGCCCUUUGCAGCCUUCGGGGCAGAGCCGGGAAUGAGAGCUGGGUCAGCCGUGCCCCGCAUCCCGGGAUCGGCGGGCUGGGAGGGGUGACCGCGUCCUUAACCUCUCGGGAAAGCUGGCGAACCCAGCACGCGGUAGUCUAAGUAUGCUCUGCCACCUCCUGGGAGACACUGGUCCACCCAGCCGUAGCAUCCACUGAUUCAGUCUUUCAUUCAUUCAUCACGGAGAGAUUAAACACCCCUUCCCCGCCAAGGCUCCACAACCUGGCUUCCCCAAAGUGCCUAGAGACACCUUCAGACCGCAGGCGGGGAAGACGCUACUUGGUGUGAAAGGAUUUCCCUUAAGAGAAACAGAAACAGCGAUGGACGCAUAACUGGCGCCCCCGGAUGAGACCCGAGAGUGCCCACGCCAUGGAGGUUCCGGAUUCCUUCGAACGGUCACUCCACGGGCAUUAGCGGACGCUGGACGCUGAACCGGGAGGGGUGGGGGGGCGGUGAGGGUGGAAACUCUAGGGGCGGAGUUUCGAGAAGAAGGGGGCGGGGCCGAGACCCAAGAAGUUGGGAGUACUUUUGACGAACCGCAGUGGUCCUUCCUUUUCCGAGCGGGGGAGGCUCUGGGCAGCUACCUGGAAGGCGGGAGGUCGCGCCUGGGCGGCGAGAGGACCUCCCCGCGGUCCCCACCCCGGGCGGGUCCUCACCCUCAGCCCCGCCCCGCCGGCGAAUUUUCACUAAACGUGUAACCCAGAUGUCCUGGCCUCGGUUUGUUUACAUUCUUGGGAACUGUUGUGGAAAGGAAAAAAAACCUAACUCCCUUCGACAUACUGUCAAAUAUAGGAAUCUGAGCUUUCGACAGGCCGGGGGGGCCAAGGAAGCUGGGCUUGAGGACUGGGGGCUAUCGAGCUCGUAGGAGGAGCGCGCCGAGGUCACUCGCCUGCAUCCGCACGCACACAAGGGCACGCCCACACCCUCACACUCGCGUCCGCGCACACCCUCGACUGGGGGAACCUGCUGUGCGCGGCGCGGCGUGGGGCGCACGACUUACAGGGGCCAGACGCUGGCCCGCGGGUCCCCAUGCGGGUCUGGGCUUCCCUGCAGGGCCCUCGCACACCAUUCUCCCAACCGAAGAGGCCAAGAGUCUUAGUCCUCAACCAGGGAUCCCCCAUCCGAUUUAGUUAGGGCCCCUAGUCUAGACACACCUGCAGAGAGAGCGGUCCGUGGCCCCAACCUCUUUAACCGGAAAAGGAGAAAGGGACUCUAGGUCUGGGCAGAAGGUGGA